rnacentral:rRNA from 1 species
GCUAUCUCUCGGGGUAGUCAGUUGAUUGUUAUAUCUCCACUAAUGAGCGGAGAGGAGUAAAAUCUUCAAAGUAAGUUAUGUGGAUCAAGGUAUGAUGAUUAAUUGGAGUUCUAGUUCAUUUACUUUGAGAAAAUUAGAGUGUUUAAAGCAGCCUCUUGGGGCACUGAAUACAUUAGCAUGGGAUAAUAAAAUAGGAUCUUCACAAUAUAUUUUAUUGGUUAAAUUGGAUAUGAAGAUAAUGAUUAAUAGGGACAGUUGGGGGUAUUCAUAUUGGGUGGUUAGCGGUGAAAUAGCUCGGAUCCAUUCAAGAUGAACUAAAGCGAAAGACAUUUACCAAGGAUGUUUUCAUUAAUCAAGAACGAAAGUUAAGGGAUCGAAGACGAUUAGAUACCGUCGUAGUCUUAACUAUAAACU